GUGCCAGCCGCCGCGGUAAGACGAACCGUGCGAACGUUGUUCGGAAUCACUGGGCUUAAAGGGCGCGUAGGCGGGCGAGCGAGUCCGGGGUGAAAGCUUUCGGCUUAACCGGAAAAGGGCCUCGGAUACCGCUCGCCUGGAGGGAGGUAGGGGUCCGCGGAACUGCUGGUGGAGCGGUGAAAUGCGUUGAUAUCAGCAGGAACGCCGGUGGCGAAAGCGGCGGACUGGACCUCUUCUGACGCUGAGGCGCGAAAGCCAGGGGAGCGAACGGGAUUAGAUACCCCGGUAGUCC
rnacentral:rRNA from 1 species